ensembl:lncRNA
CUCGCCUUUGUUAUCCCUUUAUAUAUAUUUUUUAUAUCCACAUAGGUACCCCUGUUUUAUACUCCGAUUAUGUGGAGAGUAUUUCAUGAAAUGCCUCCGUAUUCUCAUCCAGACAUCAAAGAAAGUUUUAUACAAAGAGCGAUUUCUUCACGACGGUGAAUCUUCAUGGAUUUCCACUGGUGCUGGUGAUGUGUGAAGCCUGGUUCCGUAUGGCACCCUUCAGGCGGGGGCCCUUCUCCUGUCAAGCUUGGAAUGGAGCCCCAUGCCGAGAGUGAGGGUCCACGCUCGACAGGGGAACUACACGACACUGUUGUUUCAGAAUCGCCACUUGAUUUACGCUCGUCACAGCGGAAAGGGGUCGUCAUGUCUCCAGACACCUUUCAAGAAUGCCUUUGACAAAAGAAGAACUUAUGGCUGGAUUGGGAAGCUGUCGCAAGGUUGUGAUGGACUUGCGAUGAACAGGAAACAUGGCAAGCACAUCACACACGACACUGCUGUUAAACUGGACAUGCCUGGACGUGUUGUGGACCAACCGAGAAUUGGACGUCCAUGAACAUCCACCGACGAAGGCACAACCACCGUGGUGUUGGCAAACAUAGUCCCCU